UAAAGGUUAGGUUUUCCGAACCAGUAUCUGCAGUAGCGUUAACAUCUCUGAACCCAGAGGUGUGUAUAUAUACUACAGGGUGUCUGGAGGGAUAUUACAGCUCCAGAUUAAAUCCCGCAACUGCAGAUAUACAGUGUACACAGAAUCAACUCCUUGAACAAGAUGAGAUUUUUGCAAGGAUGGAUACUGUUCUUGGUGUCUAGCUGUUUACUAGCCCAAGAUGAAUACAACCCACUCUACCUAGGCCGGUCAGUUUUAAAGGGAGGGUUCACAAUUCUAAAGAAAUAUUGUUUGAAAUUGGAUUUACAUUUUUUCAAUGUAAUCUUAUGUGUUCUGAAUGGAAAUGUGAAAUUCUUUUAAUAACAAUCAUUUAUACUAUCUACCUAUAUAAUAAAACAAGACAUCCAUAUAUAUGUUGCCUAUAGCCGGCCAAAUGGCUGGACCGAAUGGGCUGAAACUUUUUGUGGAAACUCAGUGGUGGCCAGAGGGUGUUUCA